GUUGGCUUGGAAGCAGCCAUUCAUUCAAAGAGUGCGUAACAGCUCACUAGUCGAGAGACCGGGCAUGGAUAAUAAUCGGGUAUUAAGUCAGAUACCGAAGGCACGGGGUAGCAGAGUAAUGAAAAGUACCGGUAGGGGAGCAUUCCACCUCCGUCGAAUGGUUUCCGUGAGGAUUCCUGGAGGGCGUGGAAAAGCAAAUGUAGGCAUAAGUAACGACUAGGGGCGUGAGAACCGCCCCCGCCGCAAGUCUAAGGUUUCCCGGGCGAUGCCAGUCAGCCCGGGGUCAGUCGGGUCCUAAGGCUCAGCCGAACGGCGAGGCCGAUGGCAGACACGGUUAAUAUUCCGUGACCCUCUGCUGGAGCGACGUGGAGACGGAGCAGUGACACCACCGCGCCCUGACGGAAUAGGGCGUUGAAGGCCGUAGGUGCAGACAAGGGCAGGCAAAUCCACCCUUUGAGCUGAAAGCCGACAGUACGCUUCCUCCUUCGGGAGGCGGCGACAGCGUGGGUAACCAUACUUCCUAGAAAAUCCGCUAAGCAUAUCCAUCGGAGGCCCGUACCGCAAUCCGACACAGGUAGACGGGUAGAACAUACUGAGGCGUUGGGAGAUUCAUGGCUAAGGAACUAGGCAAACUGACCCCGUAACUUCGGGAUAAGGGGUCCUCACGGCAACGUGAGGCGCAGAGAAUAGGCCCAGGCAACUGUUUAACAAAAACACAGGGCUGUGCAAACUCGAAAGAUGAUGUAUACAGCCUGACACCUGCCCGGUGCCGGAAGGUUAAGAGGAGGAGUCAGCCCCUUGUGGGUGAAGCCCCGAGUUGAAGCCCCGGUAAACGGCGGCCGUAACUAUAACGGUCCUAAGGUAGCGAAAUUCCUUGUCGGGUAAGUUCCGACCUGCACGAAUGGUGUAAUGAUCCGGACGCUGUCUCAACCAUGAGCUCAGUGAAAUUGUAGUAUCGGUGAAGAUGCCGAUUACCCGCGAUGGGACGAAAAGACCCCGUGAACCUUUACUACAGCUUAGCGCUGACCUUGGUCAUCCGAUGUGUAGGAUAGGCCGGAGGCUUCGAAGCGGGGACGCCAGUCUUCGUGGAGCCGCCCUUGAAAUACGGCCCUUUGGCUGUCCGAGGUCUAACGCGCUUUUAGCGCGGACACCGCUUGGCGGGUAGUUUGACUGGGGUGGUCGCCUCCAAAAGUGUAACGGAGGCUUCCAAAGGUGCCCUCAGGCCGAUUGGUAACCGGCCUCUAGAGUGCAAUGGCAUAAGGGCGCUUGACUGGGAGGGAGACAUCCCGAGCAGGCAGGAAACUGGGGCAUAGUGAUCCGGCGGACGCGUAUGGAAGCUCCGUCGCUCAAAGGAUAAAAGGUACUCCGGGGAUAACAGGCUGAUCCCCCCCA
rnacentral:rRNA from 1 species